GCCAUAGAACAACCAACACGGGAGUCAGACGGCGGGGGCUAAGCUUCGUCGUCGAGAGGAAAACAGUCCAGAUCGCCUGCUAAGGUCCCCAAAUCCAAGCUAAGUGGGAAAGGAAGUCGGAACGCCCAGACAGCCAGGAGGUUGGCUUAGAAGCAGCCAUCCUUUAAAGAAAGCGUAAUAGCUCACUGGUCAAGCGGUCCGGUGCCGACAAUUUAACGGGGCUCAAGCUUGGUACCGAAGCAGCGAAUGCAUCCCUUCAUUGGGGUGCGUGGUAGGAGAGCAUUCUCAACAGUUUGAAGCUAGACUGAAAAGACUGGUUGACGGUUGAGAAGAGACCCUGCCGGCAUAAGUAGCGAUAACGGAGGUGGGAACCCUCCGCGCCGAAAGUCUAAGGUUUCCUGAGAAAGGUUAAUCCGCUCAGGGUCAGGCGGUACCUAAGGCGAGGCCGAAAGGCGUAGCCGAUGGAUUUCCGGUUAACAUUCCGGACCUCCCUUGUGUUCGUUAUCACGAUGGGGUGACGCAGGAGGAUAAGCAGGCCGUCCUAUGGCUAUGACGGUCGAUGCGUGUAAGGUGUCUCUGGUAGGCAAAUCCGCCAGGGAGUUAUCACUGAGACGCAAAGCAGUACCCCGUAUGGGGGAAAGCUGCCGAUUCCACGCUGCCAAGAAAAACCUCUAAGGAGAACGUAAGGGAACCGUACCUCAAACCGACACAGGUAGACGAGGAGAAUAUCCAAAGGCGCUCGUGAGAACGCUUGUUAAGGAACUCGGCAAAUUAGACCCGUAACUUCGGGAGAAGGGUCGCCUCACUAGGGUGUUAAAGCCCGAAGAGGCCGCAGAGAAAUGCGCACUGCGACUGUUUAACAAAAACACAGGUCUCUGCAAAGUCGAAAACGACGUAUAGGGGCUGACGCCUGCCCGGUGCUGGAAGGUUAAAGGGAGAGGUUAGCCGCAAGGCAAAGCUUCGAACUGAAGCCCCAGUGAACGGCGGCCGUAACUAUAACGGUCCUAAGGUAGCGAAAUUCCUUGUCGGGUAAGUUCCGACCUGCACGAAUGGCGUAACGAAAGUGCGACUGUCUUAAUGAGCGACACGGCGAACUUGUAGUGCCGGUGAAGAUGCCGGUUGCCCGCAACUAGACGGAAAGACCCCGUGCACCUUUACUACACCUUUACUAUGAACUAUGGCCCUUGCUGCGCAGGAUAGGUGGGAGGCUUUGAUUCCAGGCUCUCGGGCUUGGAGGAGCCAACGGUGAGAUACCACCCUGCGAGAUCUGUGGUUCUAACCUACUCCCGUAAACCGGGAGAGGGACAUAGUAAGGCGGGUAGUUUGACUGGGGCGGUCGCCUCCUAAACAGUAACGGAGGCGCGCGAAGCUACGCUCAGGCUGUUUGGAAAUCAGCCGACGAGUGCAAAAGCAUAAGCGUGGUUGACUGCGAGUCCUACAAGACGAGCAGGUACGAAAGUAGGCUUUAGUGAUCCGGUGGUUCUGCAUGGAAGGGCCAUCGCUCAACGGAUAAAAGGUACGCCGGGGAUAACAGGCUGAUCGGAGCCAAGAGUUCAUAUCGACGCUCCGGUUUGGCACCUCGAUGUCGGCUCAUCGCAUCCUGGAGCUGUAGAAGGUUCCAAGGGUUAGGCUGUUCGCCUAUUAAAGCGGUACGUGAGCUGGGUUCAGAACGUCGCGAGACAGUUCGGUCCCUAUCUGUUGUGGGCGCAGGAGAUUUGAGAGGACCUGUCCUUAGUACGAGAGGACCGGGAUGGACGAACCUCUUGUGUUCCAGCUGUCAUGCCAAUGGCAUAGCUGGGUAGCGAAGUUCGGUAGUGAUAACCGCUGAAUGCAUAUAAGCGGGAAGCACUCCUCGAGAUGAGAUCUCCCAACCCGUAAGGGAUAAGAAGGGCCCAGGAAGACUACCUGGUUGAUAGACGGGAAGUGGAAGGACAGUAAUGUUUGAAGCUUACCCGCACUAAUCGCCCGUUCGGCUUGACCAU
rnacentral:rRNA from 1 species